ACUCAAAGGAAUAGACGGGGGCCCGCACAAGCGGUGGAUUAUGUGGUUUAAUUCGAAGCAACGCGCAAAACCUUACCUGGGCUUGAACUCCUCGGAAUCCGACGUAAUGGUUGGAGUGCCCGCAAGGGAAUCGAGUGAGAGGUGCUGCAUGGCUGUCGUCAGCUCGUGUUGUGAAAUGUUGGGUUAAGUCUCGCAACGAGCGCAACCCCCAUCUUUAGUUGCCAGCAUUAAGUUGGGCACUCUAAAGAGACUGCCUGGGUUAACCAGGAGGAAGGUGGGGAUGACGUCAAGUCCUCAUGGCCCUUAUGUCCAGGGCCACACACGUAAUACAAUGGUACGAACAAAGGGACGCGAACUCGCGAGGGGGAGCAAAUCUCAAAAAACGUAUCUCAGUCCGGAUUGAAGUCUGCAACUCGACUUCAUGAAGUUGGAAUCGCUAGUAAUCGCGGAUCAGAACGCCGCGGUGAAUACGUUCCCGGGCCUUGUACACACCGCCCGU
rnacentral:rRNA from 1 species